rnacentral:rRNA from 1 species
UACGAAGGGGACUAGCGUUGUUCGGAAUUACUGGCGUAAGCGCACGUAGGCGGAUUGUUAGUCAGGGGUGAAAUCCCGGGCUCAACCUCGGAACUGCCUUUGAUACUGCAAGUCUCGAGUCCGAUAGAGGUGGGUGGAAUUCCUAGUGUAGAGGUGAAAUUCGUAGAUAUUAGGAAGAACACCGGUGGCGAAGGCGGCCCACUGGAUCGUACUGACGUGAGGUGCGAAGCGUGGGAGCAACAG